rnacentral:misc_RNA from 1 species
GGAAUACUUCCUCUGCUAUCUUGACUAGUAUUGGUGAAGUCUCCAGUCUCUUCAUCUUGCCAGUCCUUCAACAUUUCUGGCAGAGGUAGACUGUAGUCGAUUCCUGAAUAUUCAUCCGAAUCUUCUACAGGUUUCCAAGACUCAACUAGUUGGCCAAGCACAUUCACAACGUGUGACAUGUCAGGCCUGUGAUUCGGAUCUCUCGCAGUGCAAUGUCCAGCUAAUUCAGCCAUAGUGCAAAUGCUCUUGUGGAUAUCUUCCUUCACGUCAAGAGCUGGAUCAACGGAAGCAAGGAGGUUUUCUUUAUUCGAUUUUAUCUGCCAGAACCACUCAACUAGAUAUCGAGUUUCCUCAGACCGAUGCUCAUCGAGGGCAGUUAGUCCAGUCACAAGUUCCAUCAACACCACCCCAAAGCUGAAGACAUCUAUUUUAGUUGUGACUUUUCCGGUCACAGCAUACUCGGGAGCAAGGUAUCCAAAUGUUCCUGCCAGCCUUGUUGCAACAGACCUUUCUUUGUCAGGAGCGAGUUUCACUAAUCCAAAAUCUGAAACUUUUGCUCUAAAAGCAUCAUCUAGAAGAAUGUUUGAUGAUUUCAGAUCGCGAUGUAUGAAGCUCUGGUGUGC